GACGGAAGGUGCAAGCGUUGCUCGGAAUCACUGGGCGUAAAGGGUGCGUAGGCGGCCGUGCAAGUCUGGCGUGAAAGCCCCGGGCUCAGCCCGGGAAGUGCGCUCGAAACUGCGCGGCUCGAGUGCCGGAGGGGAGAGUGGAAUUCCUGGUGUAGCGGUGAAAUGCGUAGAUAUCGAGAGGAACACCUGCGGCGAAGGCGGGUUGCUGGGCUGACACUGACGCUGAGGCGCGAAAGCUAGGGGAGCGAACGGG
rnacentral:rRNA from 1 species